UGAGCAACCUGCCCUUGACUCUGGAAUAACAGUUGGAAACAGCUGCUAAUACCGGAUACGACCUCCGACGGCAUCAUCUGGAGGUGGAAAGCUCCGACGAUCAAGGAUGGGCUCGCGGCCUAUCAGCUUGUUGGUAAGGUAACGGCUCACCAAGGCUUCGACGGGUAGCCGGCCUGAGAGGGCGACCGGCCACACUGGGACUGAGAUACGGCCCAGACUCCGUACGGGAGCAG
rnacentral:rRNA from 1 species